CAGCAGUGGGGAAUAUUGCACAAUGGGGGAAACCCUGAUGCAGCCAUGCCGCGUGUGUGAAGAAGGCCUUUCGGGUUGUAAAGCACUUUCAGUAGGGAGGAAGGUAGUGUAGUUAACACCUGCAUUAUUUGACGUUACCUACAGAAGAGCACCGGCUAACUCCGUGCCAGCAGCCGCGGUAAUACGGAGGGUGCGAGCGUUAAUCGGAAUUACUGGGCGUAAAGCGCAUGCAGGCGGCCUGUUAAGUCAGAUGUGAAAGCCCGGGGCUUAACCUCGGAAUUGCAUUUGAAACUAGGCAGGCUAGAGUCUUGUAGAGGGGGGUAGGAAUUUCAGGUGUAGCGGUGAAAUGCGUAGAGAUCUGAAGGAAUACCAGUGGCGAAGGCGGCCCCCUGGACAAAGACUGACGCUCAGAUGCGAAAGCGUGGGGAGCAAACAGGAUUAGAUACCCUGGUAG
rnacentral:rRNA from 1 species